rnacentral:siRNA from 1 species
GUCCAGCGAUCCAGAUAGCUGUG